rnacentral:rRNA from 1 species
GACGAACGCUGGCGGCGUGCUUAACACAUGCAAGUCGAACGGAAGGGCCCUGCGUUUGUGGGGUUCUCGAUUGGCGAACGGGUGAGUAACACGUGAGUAACCUGCCCUUGAAUUUGGGGUAAAUUCAGGGAACUGGGGCUAAUACCGGGUAUGAUCUUCUGCUGCAUGGGGGUGGAUGGAAAGUUUCGGCUGUUGGGGCUAGACUCGCAGCUUAUCAGCUUGUUGGUGGGGUAGUGGCUUACCAAGGCUUUGACGGCUAGGCGGCCUGAGAGGGUGAACGGCCACAUUGGGACUGAGAUACGGACCAGACUCCUAUGGGCGGCAGCAGGCGAGAAUAUUGCACAAUGGGCGGAAGUCUGAUGCAGCAACGCCCCGUUCGGGAUGACGGCCUACGGGUUGUAAACCGCUUUCGACUGUGACGAAGCGUGAGUGACGGUAAUGGGUAAAGAAGCACCGGCUAACUACGUG